rnacentral:tRNA from 1 species
AAUAUUGUGCCGGAUUUAAUCGGGUUGUGUUGAUGAUGCAAAAUAUGGGGCUUUCUCCAAUAUUA